rnacentral:lncRNA from 1 species
GUCAAAUUCAUGUUCAUCGAUUUUAAUCAAAUUCACAUAACAUGUGGUGUUGAAUUGUUUAUUAAAAUUCCACGCACAAUCUUGGCUGAUAUGCAUAAAACCAUUAUUUCAUGAACCUGCAUGAAAUAUUGACUUAUCACAGAACUAAAAAAAUAAACCACCGAAAGUCCACAUAAGAGGAUAUAGAGAAUAACGGGCAAAGAAAAAAAGGAAUAAAGAAUAGUGAAAGAAAGAGAAUAAUGGUAA